rnacentral:rRNA from 1 species
GACGAACGCUGGCGGCGUGCUUAACACAUGCAAGUCGAACGCUGAAGCUCAGCUUUUGUUGGGUGGAUGAGUGGCGAACGGGUGAGUAACACGUGAGUAACCUGCCCCCUUCUUUGGGAUAACGCCCGGAAACGGGUGCUAAUACUGGAUAUUCACUGGUCUUCGCAUGGGGGUUGGUGGAAAGGGUUUUUCUGGUGGGGGAUGGGCUCGCGGCCUAUCAGCUUGUUGGUGGGGUGAUGGCCUACCAGGGCUUUGACGGGUAGCCGGCCGGGGAGGGUGACUGGUCAGAUUGGGGGUGAGAUUCGGCCCAGACUCCGACGGGAGGCAGCAGGGGGGAAAAUUGCGCAAUGGGCGCAAGCCUGAUGCAGCGACGCCGCGUGAGGGGUGGCGUCCUGCGGGUUGUGAACCUCUUUCGCUCAUGGUCUAGCCGCAACAGUGGUUGUGGUGAGGGUAGUGGGUAAAGAAGCGCCGGCUAACUACGUG